AGUGAACGCUGGCGGCAGGCCUAACACAUGCAAGUCGAACGGCAGCACAGGGGUAGCAAUACCCUGGGUGGCGAGUGGCGGACGGGUGAGGAAUACGUCGGAAUCUGCCUAUUUGUGGGGGAUAACGUAGGGAAACUUACGCUAAUACCGCAUACGACCUACGGGUGAAAGCGGAGGACCUUCGGCUUCGCGCAGAUAGAUGAGCCGACGUCGGAUUAGCUAGUUGGCGGGGUAAAGGCCCACCAAGGCGACGAUCCGUAGCUGGUCUGAGAGGAUGAUCAGCCACACUGGAACUGAGACACGGUCCAGACUCCUACGGGAGGCAGCAGUGGGGAAUAUUGGACAAUGGGCGCAAG
rnacentral:rRNA from 1 species